rnacentral:rRNA from 1 species
GACGAACGCUGGCGGCGUGCCUAAUACAUGCAAGUUGAGCGCUGAAGGUUGGUACUUGUACCGACUGGAUGAGCAGCGAACGGGUGAGUAACGCGUGGGGAAUCUGCCUUUGAGCGGGGGACAACAUUUGGAAACGAAUGCUAAUACCGCAUAAAAACUUUAAACACAAGUUUUAAGUUUGAAAGAUGCAAUUGCAUCACUCAAAGAUGAUCCCGCGUUGUAUUAGCUAGUUGGUGAGGUAAAGGCUCACCAAGGCGAUGAUACAUAGCCGACCUGAGAGGGUGAUCGGCCACAUUGGGACUGAGACACGGCCCAAACUCCUACGAGAGGCAGCAGGAGGGAAUCUUCGGCAAUGGACGAAAGUCUGACCGAGCAACGCCGCGUGAGUGAAGAAGGUUUUCGGAUCGUAAAACUCUGUUGGUAGAGAAGAACGUUGGUGAGAGUGGAAAGCUCAUCAAGUGACGGUAACUACCCAGAAAGGGACGGCUAACUACGUGCCAGCCGCCGCAGUAA